UACAGAGGGUGCGAGCGUUAAUCGGAAUUACUGGGCGUAAAGGGCGCGUAGGUGGUUGAUUAAGUCAGAUGUGAAAUCCCUGGGCUUAACCUAGGAAUUGCGUUUGAAACUGAUGAGCUAGAGUAUGGGAGAGGGAAGUGGAAUUUCCGGUGUAGCGGUGAAAUGCGUAGAUAUCGGAAGGAACACCAGUGGCGAAGGCGACUUCCUGGCCUGAUACUGACACUGAGGCGCGAAAGCGUGGGGAGCGAACAGG
rnacentral:rRNA from 1 species